UACGAAGGGGGCUAGCGUUGUUCGGAAUUACUGGGCGUAAAGCGUGCGCAGGCGGCUUCUCAAGUCAGGGGUGAAAGCCCAGAGCUCAACUCUGGAACUGCCAUUGAAACUGUUAGACUUGAGGACGAGAGAGGUGAGUGGAAUUCCCAGUGUAGAGGUGAAAUUCGUAGAUAUUGGGAAGAACACCAGUGGCGAAGGCGGCUCACUGGCUCGUAUCUGACGCUCAGGCGCGAUAGCGUGGGGGAUCAAACAGG
rnacentral:rRNA from 1 species